rnacentral:tRNA from 1 species
AGCCUACUAGCUCAAUUGGUAGAGCAUUGUGCAUUUAAAAGAUGUGGGUUCGAAUCCCACGUAGGUUC